UGCAAACUAAGCUUUGGGAAUGCUAUGAAAUUCGAGGAAGGUACUUGGGUAUAUAUAAAUGCAAAAUCUUUAUUUCUACGCAGUCUGGAAAUGAAAAGUUAUCUGCAUACCAAAUUAAAGUAAGUGACUAUUUACUGUUUUAUCAUACUAGUAUAUAAAAGUAAAAUCACAAAAAAUGCAGAUCUCUGAGAAAAUUCAAAACGAAAAGUUCGUAAUCAAAAGGCAAAAUCAAAAGUUCAAACACAUCAAACGAAUGGAUAACAAUUGUCAAAUUCCUGGCAUGGUACAGGUAUUUUCUUAAGCUGGGGUCACACAUUCACGAUUUUUACUGCCGUCCUUGACAGGACCAUUCUCGAUUAAAAUUUGUCAAAAGUCUGAUCAAGAUCCUGUUAAUCGUGGAUGGAAAUUCAAACUUUAAUUAAAAUUAAAAAAAAAUAAAAUUUUAAUCACGACAACAAUCAGAUAUUGUUCAGGAAGCGUCAAUAUUCAACCGUUUCCAAGCGAAUUUAUCCCGAUUAUCCCGUUCUCAAUCCGCUUUAAAUCCGAUUUGUAUCUUUCGCCUGGUAAAAUUCGACCGAGUCUGUCAUGACUGCGUCUCGAUUUUACCGAAUGUAAUCCGACAGAGAUCAGACAGUGAACCGACAGUGAACCGACGCUGACGGAAGUUAUCCGUUCGAAAAAUAAAGGCAACAGUAGUAUACCGCUGUUCAAACUCAUAAAUCCAUGGACAAAAAACAAAAUCGGGGUAACAAACUAAAACUGACGGAAACGCAUAAAUAUAAGAGGAGAACAACGACAAAACACUACAAUGUAACUAACACACACAGAAACGGACCAAGCAUCAGACAAAAUCCCACGAGAAUAACAAAUAUAACAUCAAAAUCAAAUACAUGAAUUUGGGAUAGACAAGUACCGUGACACGUCUUAUCGCAAUGUCAAUUUACACUUAAAAAUAAGAGAAAACAAACGACGCAACGUUAAAUUGUAACACACACAGAAACGAACUAUAAUAUAACAAUGGCCAUAUUCCUGACUUGGUACAGGAUAUUUUUAAAGGAAAAAAUGGUGGGUUAAACCUGGUUUUGUGGCAUGCCAAACCUCGCACUUUAAUGGCAAUGUUAAAUAUAACAUAGAAAUGACAACAUAAUAUUACAGGACUACAAUACAAAUAAAUAGGAAAACGUAUUAGACAAAGAAACACAUGAUUAAUGAAUAACAAAAAGCAUCAGGUUUAAAAUUUAAUACGCCAAAAACGCGCCUCGUCAUACUCGGCAUACUCGGGAUGAUCAGGUACUGUCGGAACGUAAUCCUAUCACGGUCCGCUCUAUCGCAUUGCAAACGGCUUUGUCUGGUCUAAGUCGUAUUGUAUUCUCUAAUUGUCGGGACUCUGACGUGGGUAUCAUUGACGAAUUUCGUAUUAAUAACGGGACUGUUCCGGAAUGGUUUCGGCAAAAACGGUUUGCAAACGACAAGAUCUGGAUGCAAUCUGGACUCAUUGGGCAGAAAAACAGCAAUGAAAAAUUUCUCCAGAUCAUUCCCGUGUCACAGGACACCGUCAAGUAUACACAGAACAUUGUUAGGAUUUUGAUCCGAUACAGCAGAAUCUGUCACGACAUAGGCACGAUUGUAAUCCGACUAGACAAAAUCGGCUGAGUUUCCCCGAAUGUUACGGGACGCACCUAACUGUCGGGGUGCUUCGCCUAACUAUUCGGAUCCCUCCCGACCAGUAGGAAUUUGUUACGAACUUAAACGACUGCGUUCCGACAAUGAUAUGACAUUCCAGAUAAUUGAGGACAGUAAUCCGACUUUUUUCACUUUUCGAGUCGUAUCGCUGUCUGAUCUCAAACGGGAGCAACAAUCGGCAAUGUGUGAACCCCGCAGUAUGUGGUAAACAGUUUAUUAAAGUCUGGCGUUUUAAAUUAUAAUCCUGGUACAUUUGAUAAUUAUUUAAUGCUAGCUAAACCUCUCACUUGUAUGAUAGUUGUAUAAAAUUCCAUUAUAUUGACAACGAUGUGUAAACAAACAUAAUAGGUAAAAUUUCUGACUUAUAAAGGGGGACGACCGCAGACCGCUGUCUUAAACGUUGUUUGGACUGCCCCAGCCUUGGUGCGUCUCUUGUGGUCGUUUAUUUACUUUAUUUCAAGAUAAUUUAAAGUGGUCGUUCUAAAGUGUGCUUUUUUUUUUGUAGAAAUGUAAUUUUCAUCUGAGUCGAAUGUUUCUCUUAAGCUAUUUCAUUUUCUUUGCACACUUGUUGGCUCUGAAAAAGACGUCCGAGCACGAAGACUAUUCUUUAAAGUACUAGAUCAUGCUUUACAGUACAGUCCUGAGUGGCGAGUAGUGACUAGUGGAAGUAAAGCAGAAGGUUUAGACUUACCAGGAAGCGACUUGGAUAUUAUGUAUAUCAACCAAUUGGACACAGUUUACAAUACCCAAUCUGAAAUACCGAAUGACUUGCCAUAUGGUCUUUAUCUUGAUUCCGAAAUACACCACCGGGCUAUGUAAAUAUCAAGCUUCAUCUUAAAAACAGAAGUGGGAUGCAAACUAACCAUAUGUACGUUUACUCUGACAACAACAUAUCUUUAUCAAAUAGACACUACAAACUAUUGGUACAACACAUGUAUAAUGAUAAAGAUAGGUGCGACAAAAUGGGUUUUUUUCAGAGAUACAUGGUCCUUGCGCUUCCUCUAUUUGUGGAUCGUAUGAUUUCUUAUCUGCUUAUGAAUGUAAUUCCUGGCCGAGAAAUGCGGCAGAGUGGAUAACAAGACUUCGUAGUUAUCAAUGGCCUCCAACAAAACUGAUUGAAGAUAUAGUCCGAGAUAACGUCUUACUUUCACCUAUUGGGAGUAAGUCUAAUAACAAGAAGGAAAAUCCUUUGGAAUGGAGAAUGUCUUUCUCAAUUGCGGAAAAAAUGCUUGUUCAUUCAUUUAACCACACACAAAUUCUGUGUUAUGCAUUACUAAAAUAUACAUUAAGAGAAGUUAUCCACAGAAAAAUAAAGGGAACCAUGUGCUCAUACUUUAUGAAAACAGUAUUAUUCUGGAUGAUCGAAGAAUCUCAGAUUUCUGAAUGGCAACCCGAUAGGUUGUUUGUAUGCUUCCAAGCAUGCAUAAAAAGGCUUAUGUUUUUUGUACAGAACAAUGUCCUUCCAAACUACUUUAUACCACACAAAAAUUUGAUAGAAGGAAACAUUGAUGUACAGAAGAAAACGUUAUUACUUUCAAUCUUGCUAAAAUUUUUAACUAAUGGAAAAUAUUCCUUAAGACAGUUAAAAAGUUUGUCAUCACUUUUUUACCAAAGUGAAGCCUCUUUAUCUUCAGAAUUAUCUACUUCAAACUAUUUUAAUGAGGACUCAACCAUUUAUCCACUUUUACAUUAUAUGCACGGGAUAGGAUUUGGGGGUAGUAAUACUAUAUUUCAGCCAAUUUAUUGUAUAUUGACUCAUAGAAAAUGUAAGCUCUUACAGCACAUAUGCUUUAUUUGGUUUUCAAAACUUUGCGGAUCUUUGUUUAAGCAUUAUUCAUUUUUGAUAUGUGAGGAUAAUAAAAUAACUUUGCAAACUCAAAAAUGUAAUAAAAUGUUUUUUUCAAACUAUAAAAAAUGCCUUUGGUUAAGCGUACUAGGAUCAUUUUCUGAUUCUUAUACCGGUUGGCUCUUACUAGCCGAAUUCUUUUUUCAAUGCAAACAACGCGAGAAAGCUUUACAAAUAAUUCAACUGUGUCAGAUAAAAAGUUCGACCGAUCCCCAAAUAAUAAAUACCAAGUUAAAGCCUUCCCCACGAAGUGAACUGUUACUAAAAAUUGGAAAAAAUUUUGUGCAGCGAUAUAAACAUUCAUGUUCUGAUUUAUUUUAUCUCACUCCAAAGACAAAACCACAUUUAAUGUUUUAUGAUGAAGAUACUCACAGUAUGAGUUCUGACAAGGACAUUUUUAUUGCCAAUCCGCAGAAACGAAUGUAUUUUCUACUUUUUCUAUGCCAUCAUUAUUGUGGGAACAAUAUUGAAAAGUGGAAGGCUCUUCGACUACUGAAUGAAUUUUCUCUACAACGAACAACCUGUGAGGAAUACAUUGAUUCGUUGAAGCAUUUAGCGGAAGCAUGUUUAGUUGCUAAAACAAUACCAGGUUUUGCGUUUACAGACUUUUUUCGUCACCAAUGCAAAGUUCCGUUUAUGUACAUAGAUGGUUAUUUAAAACUUCUUAAGCCUAAUAUACGUGUUAUGAAAAAUAUGGCAAGAGAGAAACUUCCGCCCUUGAUUGAAGAGUUACCACAUCAAUACGAGUGUGAUUCUAUGCCACCUAUUCUAAGAAAAGGUUUACGUCUUGUAUCUGAUUUCUUUAAUAUUUAAAAGAAAACGCUUCUAACGUGACAUCCUGCUUUCGUAUCAUAUCUUUCCCAAAGUUUUAUAUAUCCAUUGCAC
rnacentral:lncRNA from 1 species